AUGUUUUUGAAGCGCAUCUGUUGGUCAAAAAGUUAAAUUAUGUAUGGUAGGAGGAGAAGUGCCGGCAAGGAUGAGUUACAAGAAUAAAAGUGGAAACUCACUUUCAUUCAGACUUGACAUCCAUCAAUUAAUUGCCUUCUCUUUAUGCACUGUUAUUCAUCCCAUGUAUCGUUAUUCGCGGCCCAUUGACUGUACUGUGAAGCUAAUAGAAGAAUCUGGACGUGACCCUGUUUUCCAAUGGACAUAUUCUCAUACGCCGUCAAAUUAUAUAUUGUCAGCAGAACAUGUGUGCUUUCGUUCCAUGAUAAUAAAUUCCAGAGUGUUGAUGAAGAGUGCUUCGUUGAGGCCUCAUUUCACUUCUCCAGUGGAAGUGGCAUGGAGAUAAUUGAGUGUGGGGUCCAUCCUACAUAUAGUAGAAAUAAAAAGAGAAG
rnacentral:misc_RNA from 1 species